rnacentral:rRNA from 1 species
UACGUAGGGGGCAAGCGUUGUCCGGAAUCAUUGGGCGUAAAGCGCGCGUAGGCGGCCCGGUAAGUCCGCUGUAAAAGUCCAGGGCUCAACCCUGGAAAGCCGGUGGAUACUGUCGGGCUAGAGUCCGGAAGAGGAGAGUGGAAUUCCUGGUGUAGCGGUGAAAUGCGCAGAUAUCAGGAAGAACACCCGUGGCGAAGGCGGCUCUCUGGGACGGUACUGACGCUGAGACGCGAAAGCGUGGGGAGCGAACAGG